rnacentral:rRNA from 1 species
UCAGUCGACUCCUACGGGAGGCAGCAGUGGGGAAUAUUGCACAAUGGGCGCAAGCCUGAUCCAGCCAUGCCGCGUGAGUGAUGAAGGCCCUAGGGUUGUAAAGCUCUUUCAACGGUGAAGAUAAUGACGGUAACCGUAGAAGAAGCCCCGGCUAACUUCGUGCCAGCAGCCGCGGUAAUACGAAGGGGGCUAGCGUUGUUCGGAAUAAACUGGGCGUAAAGCGCACGUAGGCGGAUUGUUAAGUUAGGGGUGAAAUCCCAGGGCUCAACCCUGGAACUGCCUUUAAUACUGGCAAUCUAGAGUUCGAGAGAGGUGAGUGGAAUUCCGAGUGUAGAGGUGAAAUUCGUAGAUAUUCGGAGGAACACCAGUGGCGAAGGCGGCUCACUGGCUCGAUACUGACGCUGAGGUGCGAAAGUGUGGGGAGCAAACAGGAUUAGAUACCCUGGUAG